rnacentral:lncRNA from 1 species
CUCACGUUCAUCAAUAGCAACCUCCCUCAGUUUGCUAACCUCCUUCUCUAGAGACUCAUAAUUCUCAUUUACAGCAGCAAGUUCUUCGGCAAGAUCUUCAUACUGCUCACGGCCCUGCACCAAUUCGUGUUGCAACCUCAGAUUCUCAUUCUUGAGAUUCAACCACUUGUUGAGCAUCACGUGAUAAUCCUCAGAGUCUGUACUGACAUCUGAAUCCGAGGAUUCACUAG